GUCGGGAAUUUUGGGCAAUGGGCGAAAGCCUGACCCAGCGACGCCGCGUGAGGGAUGAAGGCCUUCGGGUCGUAAACCUCUGUCGGAAGGGGCGAAAGGUUCUUGGGCGAAUAGGCCAAGGGCUUGACGGUACCUUCAAAGGAAGCGCCGGCUAACUCCGUGCCAGCAGCCGCGGUAAUACGGAGGGCGCAAGCGUUGUUCGGAAUUACUGGGCGUAAAGCGCGUGUAGGCGGCCUGACAAGUCGGGUGUGAAAUCCCGGAGCUCAACUCCGGAACUGCAUCCGAUACUGUCAGGCUCGAGUCUCGGAGAGGAUGGCGGAAUUUCCGGUGUAGAGGUGAAAUUCGUAGAUAUCGGAAGGAACACCAGUGGCGAAGGCGGCCGUCUGGACGAUGACUGACGCUGAGACGCGAAAGCGUGGGGAGCAAACAGGAUUAGAUACCCCGGUAGUCC
rnacentral:rRNA from 1 species